UAAAGGAAUUUGUGAAGAUGCUGUACUUAGAAUCUAAAACACUUCUUGAAAACAAAAGCCAGGAAGCACAGAUGGAGAGGACCUCGUUUACCCUGUCUCUUCUCAUUCCAAGUAACAAGAUUUUGGAGAGCCUUAGGCACAGAGAUCAUCACAAGAAACAGGUGUGACUAGAAUAGUAAAAAUCAGGAGGGAGGAACUCCCUCUCACCCAAGAUUUCAUCCGCACCCCAGUCACUGACCUCACAUGCCUUUUCUGAGAAGGUUCUGCAGUUUGUUUCUCGCUGCUGAGGCCAUUGAGAGCCUGGGUUUUGUCAUCUUUGGGAUCAACUACGCCCCCACCUUCGAGUCAUCCUCCAGUUGGAGUCACACGUCUAUGAAGAGGUUCUUUCAAGCUGAUAAUAAAAACCUGGAGCGGGUCAGGCCGG